UUUGGGCUAGGGGGUCAUCCCGACUUACCAAACCCAUGCAAACUCCGAAUACCGAGAAGUGCAAUUACGGGAGACACACGGCGGGUGAUAACGUCCGUCGUGGAAAGGGAAACAACCCAGACCAUCAGCUAAGGUCCCAAAAUUAUGGCUCAGUGGAAAACGAUGUGGGAAGGCCCAGACAGCUAGGAGGUUGGCUUAGAAGCAGCCAUCCUUUAAAGAAAGCGUAAUAGCUCACUAGUCGAGUCGGCCUGCGCGGAAGAUGUAACGGGGCUAAACCAUGCACCGAAGCUGCGGCAGCGACACUAUGUGUUGUUGGGUAGGGGAGCGUUCUGUAAGCCGUUGAAGGUGGCCUGUGAGGGUUGCUGGAGGUAUCAGAAGUGCGAAUGCUGACAUGAGUAACGACAAUGCGAGUGAAAAACUCGCACGCUGAAAGACCAAGGGUUCCAGUCCAACGUUAAUCGGGGCUGGGUGAGUCGACCCCUAAGGCGAGGCCGAGAGGCGUAGUCGAUGGGAAAUUGGUUAAUAUUCCAAUACUUCUAUGUAAUGCGAUGAGAGGACGGAGAAGGUUAAGUCAGCCUGGCGUUGGUUGUCCAGGUGGAAGGUUGUAGGCAUGUAUCUUAGGCAAAUCCGGGGUACUCUAUGCUGAGAACUGAUAGCAAGCUGUACUUGUACAGUGAAGUGGCUGAUACCAUGCUUCCAGGAAAAGUCUCUAAGCUUCAGUUACAUAGGAAUCGUACCCGAAACCGACACAGGUGGUCAGGUAGAGAAUACUAAGGCGCUUGAGAGAACUCGGGUGAAGGAACUCGGCAAAAU
rnacentral:rRNA from 1 species